UGUAUCUGUGCUUGUGUUAACGCUUCCCAUGGUUGUGAAAGGAUCUUGGCUGUCGCUGAGAAAGGUUUGACUCAUCAAGGACUUCAUCUAAUUGACUGACUACAAGGGGGUUGGUCCCUACUCUGAAACCACCACGAUGGUGGUGAUCACCCCUGCCAGUUAUCUUUCCUUGGGAGAGGCAGAUGGAAGAAAUACCAGGCAUGUUUCACCCUUGCUGUGACUCUACCAGCUUUCAGUGGGGUGGCUUUGGUAAGACUUCCCUCUGGGAGCCAGAAAUGUUGGAUUCUAACAAAAAGAUGAAUGUUGGCUGGAGAUAGUGGGUUCUUGUUUCAGGAUAUGGGAUGCCUGAUUCUGCUAGCAGUGGUAGCAUAACUGUGAAGGUACUUUUCUCCCUUUCAUUUCUUCUCAUAGUCUUUUCUACCUGGCCUAUUCAGAGAGCAAGUUUUUCAGAUCAGGAAUUGCUUCUUGCUAUGAUUUUUCCACCAUGCAGAUCACAAUGAGGGUCUUUGUGGUGUCCCUUAGAUGCCAACAGGAAACAAUAAAUAGCACUGAGGCUUUAAGCUAAUCCUGCCAUUUCUUUGCAUGUUGCAUCAAAAAGACAAACAUCAAAUAAGCAGAUAAAUUUUGCUAACCUUUGCAGCCUGCACCAGCUGCACCGUGCACUGGUUCCACGCGUCGUACUUCUUGGCUCCAGACUGGAUCAAAUCCUGUAGUUUAGCUGCUGUGCUGCCUAUGAGCCUGGAAAAUUGAAAAAGCAUAAGGCAUACUGUUUGUGGAUGGAGCAGCCCACAUGCACACGGUUCUCAAUCGGAGUCGUGUGUGCUUGGAUGGCAAACUGGCAUUUCUGACACCUGGAGUCAUCUACACUGAGUGUGAGCGAGCUCAGAUCACACAAAAUCUGAGUACAAACUGGGGAAGCACCCAGACCAUCCUGGUAUUGGAGGAUUUCUGCCUUCUCAGCUUCCAGGGUGGUUUACCAAGGGGUUGGCUGAGCUUUUCCUGUGUCGUGUUUGUAAGGAGAAUUUGCAAAACAAAUAGUAAUACUGGACUGCUCUUACAUUAUGUUUCUCCUUUUCUACACAGGGAUUCAGAUCCUGCUCCCAUUGAUUUUGCAAGAGUGCCUCUGGUUUUACAGUGGUUUCAAUGACAGCAGGGUUGUCUGUUUACCUGGUUUUCAGAGAUGACACCUAUACAGCCCAUAACUGCACAAAAUUCCAAUGAGACCACUCAUGGUACCAUUAUUAUUUGUGUUGAGUGGCUGAAUGUGUAGUUGAAAGGCUACAGACAGAAUGAGAAGCUGUGUGUUUACUGUGGUGCUAAUUGAAAACAAACAUCCCUUUCUCAGGUAUGUGAAAUUUUAACAUUCUGUAUAAAAUUGCUCAGGAUCCAGUUGCCUAAAGGUUUUUCUGGAUGGCAAUUCAGUGAUGUGGUCUGGGAUUUACUUAAACGGUGCCACCAACUCUGUGGACGUAGUUGUUUGGUAGCACGUGGCUUAAGAACUUCUGCUCCAUACUGAACAUCUGACAUGGCUGUUAAUCCUUUGUAGUCUUCCUUUUCUCUUUCAGGAACGGAUGGUGCCACUCCUUGUGUAACUUAUUUUACCUCCCUUGAAAGGAAGGAAGAAGCUGAGCCCUUAACAGAUUUCUGAUGUCUCCCAUCCUCUGUACUGACCUGAGUGCCACGUGUUGAUAGGCCUCAGUGUAAAUAUGUGGACUGAGAAAAUCCGACUUGUUCUUGGCUGGACACUUCCCAGGUUUCACUGCAGCCAGAUAAGUGACAGAUGGUGGAACAGGCUGGCCAGCACUGGCUGCCAUGAAGCACUUAAUCAGGAACCUGGGAAGAGAGCAAAGUCAGAGCAGGGUAUGGUGGUGAUCUGCACACAGCAAAAAGUAAAGUGGGAGCAGCCUUACCGUGUCCCAGUUCAGUCUGGGCGUAGCUUCCAAUGAGCCGGAGCUGGGUGGCAAGAGGAAUCCACUUGGCAAUCUGCUUGUCAGAGCCCAGCACUGAAAUACUUCUCAUGAAGACACGGUGAAGGAGAAACGCAACGUCCCCUGACAGUGCCCUGUGGAGAAGGUAAGAUUAUACUGAGUUCCAGCGGCACCUUGAACUGUGUGAUCCCAGUGGCCUGUGCCAUUCUUGUUUGGCCUUUAAUUCAAGGUGCGUUACUGUCUCGGGAGAGAGGACAGCCCCGGGGCAGGGUGCAGUGUACACAGGGUUGGAGUCGCCCAGCGCUGCCCUUGAGCCGUCACGGGAAGGAGCCCGGGACGCCUCCUCUUCCGUGAGGCCGCGAUGUCCGGGUCUCUAGUGACGGGAGCUGGAGCUCUCCCCCCCCCACGCCCCCGGGGGCUCACCCUGACUACAGACGGGAGAGGAGUUCCCCCUGCUCAUAGUUCAUCGACACGUCUGUGCUUCUGCUUCAGACCUGUUGGGAACUGCUUUCUCAGGGAAGGAACACAUGGAGUUCACUCGUACUAAAGACUUGCUUUAAUGUGAGAAGUUAAACAAAGGUUGGGAAAUCAGAUGUAGUUUUGGGUAACUGUAAUUUUAAGCCUGGAGCUGAGCUUGUUGAACCAAGCCCAGCAGCCAUGAGGAGCAACAACCAAUCAGAGCAGCUGACUGCAAUGCAGUGUGUGUGCUCAUGGGCAGUGGAUAGUGUGUUAGGGAUCAGCCUGGUAGAUUAAAGAUGCUAUGUGGCUCUGUCACACUCCCAGGGUGUCCUGUGGAUGUGCUGUAUUCAGGUCUGUACAGCACAGUGUCGCAUCCCAUGGUGACCUGGGGCUGGGAGUGCUUGGGAGGCACUAGAUCCUUCUGAAGUGCUCCAUGGAAUUUCACUAUUUACUUGCAACCUGAUGUUCAUGCAGGCUUCUAUCUGGGCAGGCUCAGGUGCUGCCUGGGUAGGUCACUGCCAGUCUGUGUUAGUGAGGUCUGAGCUGGAGUGCCACUGGCGCUGCACGCCUGGCAGCGUGUCAUACACCUCAGCUCCACGUGCCCUUGGGUGCCCAGAGAUCUCACAGGUGUGAUGACAACUGGCAAAAUCCGCAAGAGCACCUGGUUGUGGUGCGUUGGAACACACCCUCAUUAUGUUGCUGAUAAUUUCACCUUUUCCCCUAUUUCCAUAAGGCUGGAUCUCACCAGUAUCAUGGCCAAUUCAUAUGGUCUCACAUGAUGCUUUCAUCAACGCAAAACCAUUUGGUCUGUGGCAGUUUUAGAUAAUUUUGGGAAAUGAUCUAAAUAUAGAGAAAUACCUAGGAUAGGCAGAGGCAAGUUCCUGAGCAGGGGUGUUUGGCCAGGGUCAGUCAACAGGUACCAAUAGCUUGAGGAAGAAAACCAGAAUUUGCCAUUUUUGAGGCAGUAAUGAGGAAUAUAUCAAGCAUCAAAAUAUAAGUGUUCCUGGGCAGGAAAUACCAUGGCAGCAAACUAUCUAGGAGCACUUCAGGAGUGAAUGCACAGGAAAGAAAUCUCAGCAUGACUUGGAUAAAGAGCAAAGCUGGUAUUAAAAGCUCUGGCAGUAAGAGAAAUCCAGGCGAUGGAGCAGUUCGAGCAUAGCUAAAAGGCAGGUGUCCUUUAAGAGCAGAAAUGAUUGUUUCUUACUCCCUUGCAUAGAAGAGGAACUGUCACGAUAUGAACAACUGCUUUUGGCAUCCAUGUAUGGAAGGAGGUGUGUGAUCAGUGUAAGUUUUGGGGCAUAGCCCAUCAAAACCUCACUGCUUGGUGCUGGAAGAGGUUGAUAAAGCAUUCUACGAAGUGCUGCCCGAGUCCCCUGGUCUCAUGUCACACCAAAGGCCUCAGUCCCCAGAGAAGAUGUGUCCCUUUGGGUGAUUUAUUCCAGGAAAUUAAGUACACAACCUGCCACAGUAGGAUAGUAAGGGAGAUGAUGUUAUAAGCAGCAAAAAGGUGGGAAGAUGUUUUGGAAAUCUGACCUGAAGAACAAGUUUAGUGAAUGAGCCCUCACCCCCAGUGAUGAGCUGACUGGCCACACCAGUGCCACAGGGUGUGGAGGGUUGGAACAAAAUGUACCUCCCAGUGUGGCAACUCCAGUAAAUACCUGGUGUCAGAGAAAUGCAUCCAAGCACCAUCUCUGCCAUGUUCUGAGUGGGAUGUUGGCAUCUGUGCCAAUAUCAGUAAUGAGACGAGUCCUUUUCAUUUGCUUUGCUGCAUUCAGUUUUACCCUGGCUCUCAGGGACCAUGGUGUGUGUGACCUGUACGUGUGAAGCACCCUCUCUCUUUCUUAUAUGUUUAAUCUGUGGUCUUUGGUUGCUGCUAAAGAACUUAAAAAAAAUGUUUAAAAAUAAUGAAGAAAGCUCACUAGUGUGAGGAUUACCUGUAAGUUCAAACCUGAGUUUUUAAAUUAAAUCCGAGGACAUGUUUCCUUGGCUUUGUGAGUCUUGCCCUGCCAGGCAAGUGGGCAUCCAUGUCCAGUGGGAAAUCAAACAGUAUGGGAAGUUUCAGAGCACAAGGCCUGAUGCCACAAUUUUUGGGCCCUUAAACUUUCAUCAAAUUGAGAUGAAGUCUGGGGAUAAGCACUGGAUUCAGUGUUGGGUGCAGAUGACAAAAAGGGCUGAUUGAUGAGCAAGUUCACACAGCACUAACAAAGGAAUUGGUGUCAGACUUCACUGGU